AACACAUGCAAGUCGAACGAGACCUUCGGGUCUAGUGGCGCACGGGUGCGUAACGCGUGGGAAUCUGCCCCUUGGUUCGGAAUAACAGUUGGAAACGACUGCUAAUACCGGAUGAUGUCUUCGGACCAAAGAUUUAUCGCCCAGGGAUGAGCCCGCGUAGGAUUAGCUUGUUGGUGAGGUAAAGGCUCACCAAGGCGACGAUCCUUAGCUGGUCUGAGAGGAUGAUCAGCCACACUGGGACUGAGACACGGCCCAGACUCCUACGGGAGGCAGCAGUGGGGAAUAUUGGACAAUGGGCGAAAGCCUGAUCCAGCAAUGCCGCGUGAGUGAUGAAGGCCUUAGGGUUGUAAAGCUCUUUUACCCGGGAUGAUAAUGACAGU
rnacentral:rRNA from 1 species